UCGAGAAUUUUUCUCAAUGGGGGAAACCCUGAAGGAGCGACGCCGCGUGGGGGAUGAAGGACUUCGGUUCGUAAACCCCUGUCACUUGGGAACAAAAGUUGCAACCUAACACGUUGCAACCUGAUAGUACCAGGAGAGGAAGGCACGGCUAACUCUGUGCCAGCAGCCGCGGUAAUACAGAGGUGCCAAGCGUUGUUCGGAUUUACUGGGCGUAAAGGGUGCGUAGGCGGUUGUGCAAGUCGGAUGUGAAAUCCCGGAGCCUAACUCCGGAAUGGCAUUCGAAACUGCACAGCUCGAGGUCUGGAGAGGUGAUUGGAAUUCUCGGUGUAGCAGUGAAAUGCGUAGAUAUCGGGAGGAACACCAGAGGCGAAGGCGAAUCACUAGACAGAACCUGACGCUGAGGCACGAAAGCCUGGGGAGCAAACGGG
rnacentral:rRNA from 1 species